ensembl:lncRNA
CUUUUCUCCUCACACGGGUGGCAAAUCAGUCAUGUGCCAUUAUUACUCUGCACGUCAACGUGCAUAUAUAUUUCAUUGAAUUGCUAAUUCGGUCCAAGCCUGAAUCUUUCUUCAAGCUCCCAUAAUUCAGAGAUGUGAUUUAGAGCAUUCUGUGCACCCGCUUCUAGCUGACGCAUGCUAUGCACAUACCAGGAUCCACAUUAUUGAUGAUUUUGAGGAAAAAUCAAGGCCCCCAUGUACAGUUGUGACUUCCAGCACACACGAGCCUCCUCCAUUUGUACAUAGGAACACCUGCAAAGCACAUCAGAGUUGAUCACAGCCAAGGACGAAAAGUUAUAUUUAGUAUAUGAAUUUCCAUGUGAACAAAAUAAAUAAAUAAAUAAAUCAGGGAAACACCUAGUUUUGCUGAACAUAAUGGUUUGGAUUGUAGUUUAGAGGCCUAGCCUUUCUCACUUGUCAGGAGGAAUGAGUUGUUCUGCUGGUUUUUUGGCAUUCUAACACAAAUGCCUCCUGGGGCCUAAAAAGCAUUUCCUGUAGUAACAAGUAUCUGAUCGGUUGGUUCAAUAGAUGUAGCUUGAACUUGGCACUUGCUAGCAGAUUUAGCAUGUGCUUUGAAGGAAUGGGACUUGGGACCAUAUACCUAUCACCCUCAGCAAGCUGCCUUUUCUGUUGUGUAAAUCUGUGUCAAUCUGAGCCUGCUUAUGAAGAACAUAACUUGCAGAAGAGAUUCCACUCCCCAGGAGAAGAAAACUGAAGGAAAUACCCCUUGAGCUCUUUCUAUCCUGAAAUGUUCAGAGCACUGAUAAAGCUAUCAACUGCUGUGAUAGUUUGCGUAAUAUAAACACCUGCCUGCUGCAAGGACACAAGCAAAGCCAUAGACAGUUGGCCACUGUACAGCUGGAAACUACCUUUCUGCAUUGCAGAACCAGACCAGUUACAAACAAGUAAGCUGUAGCUGAAAGAUAGGAUAAUCCUGUUCUGGUCUGACAGCCAUCCAAUCCUGUGGAUGCAUAUAUGUUUUUAAAUGGUCACUUUAACUCUGCAUUAAAGUUCGCUUGAAGCCAAGAGCUCACUGCCCUAAGAAAACUGCAUUCCUCUGGGUUAAUAUUUCACUUGACAGGAAUCCUUUCUGGCUGGAGAUCGACUGCAAAACCUGUAAGCAGGUUUUGUAUCUCAUUGUUUCCAGAAACAAGAAUUUUUCAAACCCUCUCAAACACUGCUGAAUCAAAACAUACACUCCCUAAUUCUGUGCCUUCUAUUUUAAAUCCGUAACUCCAAAUUGACUAAUUUAUCUAAGAAUAACAUGUUUCUUUACGUUAGUUAUAUAUAUUUAACUACAGUACAUGAAUUUUAAUCACAGAUUGGACUCCAUAAAACCAAAUGGUUUCAGAGGUCACACAUAAAAAACAUGAGAAUUAUUUAGUCUCAAGGGGACAUCUGGGGCAACAAAUCCCUUUCUUCUCCAUUUGGGACCGUCUGGCCUCACUGUGUCAAGUUCCAUGUCAGGAAACGUGUCUUCCUGCUACAUUUAUUGUUAUCUCCAAUGAGUAACAUACAAGACAAAUAUAAUGUGCAACAAA